GUCUCCUAACCACUCAACCGGCCCCUAAACCUGAGCCUCAAGUCAUGACUCAGACUCUCAUCGCUCAGGAGCCCAGGCCCCUGGAAGGGGUGAGAGUUUACACACUGAAUCUACAUGAGGGAUUUUAGAGGAGGCCACUUUUCCCCCCAUUGCAUAGUGUGUGGAACCUGCUGCUCCAGGCUUUUCAUCAGGCACCCCGGCCCUUGGUUUGCAGUUCACUUUGGCCAAUGGAUGCUUCCAGAGGAAGGCAGGAGCAGAGGAGGUGCCAUUGGCUGUUCCUUCUCUCUUUUUUUUUUCUUUUUUUUUUUGGCAUAUGCAAAGGAAAGAAGUUCCUGCUUCUUCGGUGGCUCUGGCAGCAGCUACAGGGGCCAGCCGCAGCUGCCCAGGAGGUGGAUGGCUCUGGCAGUAGUGUCCCCAGUGAUGGAUUACACCAGCAGCAGCGGCGUGGCACAAGCCUGACCAGAGUCAGCCGGACGUGCAGUCCUGAGCCCGUGGCACCACCUCCUGCUGUUUGUGCCUCCAGCCCUAGGAGUGGCAGCGCCUCCCAAGUCACUGAUCUCGGGGUUGUCACACCUUCUUUCCUCUUUCAGCUCUUUUAAGACAGUUGAAGGGAGUUCCCCGAAUCAAAAUCUCCCAAGUUCAGAGUCUUUAUUUUUCUCAGGCUUUCCCUAAGUGAACCCUGAUGGCUACAGCACUUGCCACUAGGAGUGGUCCCAGAAAACAAACCAUCAAGGAUGGGAUUUGGACGUCGACUGUCUGGCGUGCGGUGAGGAUCUCAUUACCAGUGGAAAAUGGGAGUCUGGUGGUGCCUGAGAUGCAGUGGCAUCAACAUUACUUAAAUUAGCGCCUGUGGCUGUCUGGGAUGAAAUGCCAGCUAAAGGCAACAUUUCAGGUGGACCACGUGGCUGCUCAUCGGACUAUUAUGGUGGUGCUGAUGACUCCUUUACUGAAACCCCAGGGCUUGCUGGGGAAUGGUUUGUCAUUGAGUGUGGGAGUGACAGAAGAGGAAGGUAGGUGAAGAGGCCGAAAGGGUCAGAGCCAGACUGGGAAGGGUGAUUAGUACCCACAGGGAGGGGUAAGACUCAUUUUUGCGGGUAGCAGAGAUGCUCCAGGCAGACUAGUUAGAGAGGCAGCCUGGGCGGGGGAAAGAGCUGGGGCCAGCAGAUCAGGAACACAGCCACACUCUACCUCUUUCUAGCUGUGUGACCUUGGCCAGGGCACUCAUCCUCUCUGAGCUCUCUUCAGUAGCUGGGUGGGGUCAUAGCACCCUGCUCAGACAGCUGUCGGGAGGAUCAGAGGAGACAAUCUAUGGAAAGUGGUUCUUAGUGAAUAUCAAAAAUGGCCGUGGCUGUCACUGUUGCUGUCAUCAUGGAAGCAGUCCUGGGAGGCAGACCUCCUCCUCCUCCCCCAGCUCCCAGGCACUCCCUGCAGCCCCACCCUGCUGGGGCUACUGCUGUCUAUGAGUCCUGAGAAAUGGCUGGUUCAGCAGAGGCAAUUCCUGGAGACCAAAGAAAGAAGGGCCAGGGGUGGGUGUAGGUAACUGUCCUGGGCUCCAGGAGAGAGCCUGGGGAGAAGUUCCUGGAAGAGGCCAACAUUCACCCCGAAGUGGUUUGUCAAACUGCUGGCAGACAGCAGAGCUGGCCAGAGAUCCCAGGUUUCUCCACCUGUCACUACCAGGCCGUGGGGACUUGUGCAAAAGCCCCCUGGAAAAGAGGGAGGUUGGAGUAAUGACCACCAAAGCCCUUCCUAAUGGCAGCUCCCAGACAUCUUCAUAGCCUGCCAGCCUCUUCCAAAUCCAGUUCCUGGAUUUGGGAGCCAGAUCCUAAUUGGCUGGGCAUCAUAUCUCACCAACCAGACCAUGAGCCCAGCCCAGAGGCUGGCCUUGAAGCUCUCAUUCUCUUCAUCCACACAGUCCUGUGGCUGGGGGCUAAUCCCACUGGAGGGAGGCCUGCCUGGCACAGUGACCCCUGAGCUGCUCUGGCCAUGUCAUGCAACAGCUGGCAAGGAUAAGUGACCAUCCACCAUCAGGGGUGGGGCCACCUUUCCAGAUCCUUCACACUCCAGAGCUGGAGAUGACAUCCAGACCACUGAGUCGCAGCCCCUCCCAGUUCAUGGAUCUACCCAGAGGAGCCAGAAUCAGAGCAGAGACCACAGCCCAGGGCUCCGGGCCCCCGAUCCAGUGCUUGCUCUACCACGCUUCCCUGACCCCACUUGUCCUUUCACCCUCACGCUGGUUCAGACACAGCCCCAGACAGCAGCUUCCAUUGCGGUCAGGUGCGUGUCUCAUUCAUAGUGUGAUGUCUGGUUUUUAUUUAAAUGAACAGCCGGGGGAGAACAAAUUACAAUCCACGGAGAUGAGAGUGUCUCAUGAGGUGAGGUGUAUCUGCCCCACUCCCGUAUUUCUCCAUCAGCUCUGAAGCAAAAACUCAAGGGCAAUUAGAUUUUACAUAUUUUCCUUUUUAUACUUCAAUAAAUAUCUCCUAUGAAAACCAA